rnacentral:rRNA from 1 species
UACGUAGGGGGCAAGCGUUGUCCGGAAUCAUUGGGCGUACAGCGCGUGUAGGCGGCCAGAAAAGUCCGCUGUGAAAACUCGAGGCUCAACUUCGAGCUGUCGGUGGAAACUUUCUGGCUAGAGUCCGGAAGAGGAGAAUGGAAUUCCUGGUGUAGCGGUGAAAUGCGCAGAUAUCAGGAAGAACACCCGUGGCGAAGGCGGUUCUCUGGGACGGUACUGACGCUGAGACGCGAAAGCGUGGGGAGCGAACAGG